UACGUAGGGAGCAAGCGUUGUCCGGAAUCAUUGGGCGUAAAGCGCGCGUAGGUGGCUUCGUAAGUCCGCUGUGAAAGUCAAAGGCUCAACCUUUGAAAGCCGGUGGAUACUGCGGGGCUAGAGUACGGAAGAGGCGAGUGGAAUUCCUGGUGUAGCGGUGGAAUGCGCAGAUAUCAGGAGGAACACCAAUGGCGAAGGCAGCUCGCUGGGACGUGACUGACGCUGAGACGCGAAAGCGUGGGGAGCAAACAGG
rnacentral:rRNA from 1 species